rnacentral:rRNA from 1 species
GAUGAACGCUAGCGGGAGGCUUAACACAUGCAAGUCGAGGGGCAUCAUAGGGUAGCAAUACUCUGAUGGCGACCGGCGCACGGGUGAGUAACGCGUAUGUAACCUACCCUUUACAGGGAGAUAACCCGGAGAAAUUCGGACUAAUAUUCCAUAGUAUUAUAUUUAGGCAUCUAUAUAUAAUUAAAGCUACGGUGGUAAAGGAUGGGCAUGCGUAACAUUAGCUAGUUGGUAUGGUAACGGCUUACCAAGGCAAUGAUGUUUAGGGGGCCUGAGAGGGUGAUCCCCCACACUGGUACUGAGACACGGACCAGACUCCUACGGGAGGCAGCAGUGAGGAAUAUUGGUCAAUGGGCGCAAGCCUGAACCAGCCAUCCCGCGUGAAGGAAGAAUGCGCUAUGCGUUGUAAACUUCUUUUCCAGUGGAAUAAUUUGCCAUACGUGUAUGGUAUUGAAUGUACGUUGGGAAUAAGCAUCGGCUAACUCCGUGCCAGCAGCCGCGGUAAUACGGAGGAUGCGAGCGUUAUCCGGAUUUAUUGGGUUUAAAGGGUGCGUAGGCGGGAUGAUAAGUCAGUGGUGAAACCCUGCAGCUUAACUGUAGGCUUGCCGUUGAUACUGUUGUUCUUGAGUAUGGUCAAGGCAGGCGGAAUGUGUAAUGUAGCGGUGAAAUGCUUAGAUAUUACACAGAACACCGAUAGCGAAGGCAGCUUGCUGGGCCUGUACUGACGCUGAUGCACGAAAGCGUGGGGAUCAAACAGGAUUAGACACCCUGGUAGUCCACGCCGUAAACGAUGAUCACUAGCUGUUGGCGAUAUACCGAUCAGUGGCAAAGCAAAAGCAUUAAGUGAUCCACCUGGGGAGUACGGCCGCAAGGCUGAAACUCAAAGGAAUUGACGGGGGCCCGCACAAGCGGAGGAACAUGUGGUUUAAUUCGAUGAUACGCGAGGAACCUUACCUGGGCUUAAAUGUAGAGUGCAUUGGAGGGAAACUUUCAUUUUCUUCGGAACUUUUUACAAGGUGCUGCAUGGUUGUCGUCAGCUCGUGCCGUGAGGUGUCGGGUUAAGUCCCAUAACGAGCGCAACCCUUAUCGUUAGUUGCCAGCGGGUGAAGCCGGGAACUCUAACGAAACUGCCGGUGUAAACCGUGAGGAAGGUGGGGAUGACGUCAAAUCAGCACGGCCCUUAUGUCCAGGGCUACACACGUGUUACAAUGGCCGGUACAGAGGGCAGCUACCUGGAGACAGGAUGCGAAUCUCGAAAGCCGGUCUCAGUUCGGAUCGGAGUCUGCAACCCGACUCCGUGAAGCUGGAUUCGCUAGUAAUCGCGCAUCAGCUACGGCGCGGUGAAUACGUUCCCGGGCCUUGUACACACCGCCCGUCAAGCCAUGGAAGUUGGGGGUACCUGAAGUCCGUAACCGCAAGGAGCGGCCUAGGGUAAAACCAGUGACUGGGGCU